GAUGAACGCUGGCGGCGUGCCUAAUACAUGCAAGUAGAACGCUGAAGGAGGAGCUUGCUCUUCUGGAUGAGUUGCGAACGGGUGAGUAACGCGUAGGUAACCUGCCUGGUAGCGGGGGAUAACUAUUGGAAACGAUAGCUAAUACCGCAUGACAACAGUUAUUGCAUGAUAACUGUUUAAAAGGGGCAACUGCUCCACUACCAGAUGGACCUGCGUUGUAUUAGCUAGUUGGUGAGGUAACGGCUCACCAAGGCGACGAUACAUAGCCGACCUGAGAGGGUGAUCGGCCAAACUGGGACUGAGACACGGCACAGAGUCCUACGGGAGGCAGCAGUAGGGAAUCGUCGGCAAGAGACGGAAGUCUGACCGAGCAACGCCGCGUGAGUGAAGAAGGUUUUCGGAUCGUAAAGCUCUGUUGUAAGAGAAGAACGAGUGUGAGAGUGGAAAGUUCACACUGUGACGGUAUCUUACCAGAAAGGGACGGCUAACUACGUG
rnacentral:rRNA from 1 species